CCUGAACUUAGAGUAUUGCAUGCAUGGCUACUGUGCCACCUGUGUGUCAAUAGGUGGCAGAGAGGAGAGAGGCUAUGUCUAAGUUCAGUGUUCUGACCUGAACACUGCUAGAAGCUUAACACU
ensembl:snoRNA Gm24314 predicted gene, 24314